CGGGGUACACGAGCGGCGAACGGGUGAGUAACACGUGGGUGAUCUGCCCUGCACUUCGGGAUAAGCCUGGGAAACUGGGUCUAAUACCGGAUAUGACCUCCUAUCGCAUGGUGGGUGGUGGAAAGAUUUAUCGGUGCAGGAUGGGCCCGCGGCCUAUCAGCUUGUUGGUGGGGUAAUGGCCUACCAAGGCGACGACGGGUAGCCGACCUGAGAGGGUGACCGGCCACACUGGGACUGAGACACGGCCCAGACUCCUACGGGAGGCAGCAGUGGGGAAUAUUGCACAAUGGGCGAAAGCCUGAUGCAGCGACGCCGCGUGAGGGAUGACGGCCUUCGGGUUGUAAACCUCUUUCAGCAGGGACGAAGCGCAAGUGACGGUACCUGCAGAAGAAGCACCGGCUAACUACGUGCCAGCAGCCGCGGUAAUACGUAGGGUGCAAGCGUUGUCCGGAAUUACUGGGCGUAAAGAGUUCGUAGGCGGUUUGUCGCGUCGUUUGUGAAAACCAGCAGCUCAACUGCUGGCUUGCAGGCGAUACGGGCAGACUUGAGUACUGCAGGGGAGACUGGAAUUCCUGGUGUAGCGGUGAAAUGCGCAGAUAUCAGGAGGAACACCGGUGGCGAAGGCGGGUCUCUGGGCAGUAACUGACGCUG
rnacentral:rRNA from 1 species